GUCUUCAACCUCCAGCAGCAACCAUGCGAAGAGACAACCGCGUGCAUUACUUUCUCGCGGCGUUUAUUCCGAUUGAUUCAGGCCAUUAAAACUUGCGCCGUUUGCGUCUAUAAAUCACCCUCGCCUGCCUCUCCAUUUUCUCUCCAGUCUCGGCACUCUAUCGCCGCCAGGCUGGUGAAUUUGUUCGCCGGAGUUCGCCUUGACCACCUCGGACUAUCGUCGAUUCCGAAGAACUCAGACCGCCGCCAUCAUCACCCGCAUCUCGACGGUACUCAUCGAUCUCCGGCAGCUCCUCCACGUCGCUCCAUGACAAGACCUACGACCCCACCCUCAGUAUCGCGCGCCCCUCGACGGGAUAGACUCCAUCAACCACCUCGCUGUCGCGGAAGAUGAACAGAGAGGCCUAGAACGACGCCGUCAUCUACACUUCACCCACCGCCAGUAACUGUCGUUCGUGUAAAGAGCGGUGUGUUUUGGUUGAGAGAAGUGAACGAUCUUCAUUUACCAAAAAGGC